GGGGCUGUAGCUCAGCUGGGAGAGCACCUGGUUUGCAACCAGGGGGUCGGCGGUUCGAUCCCGCUCAGCUCCACCA
rnacentral:tRNA from 4 species